GUCUUUCUCAACGUUACCAUCCAAUUACUCCCCUUGUCUCUGGGAUGAAGACAUCUGCGCACAGAAAUAGUCAGCAGCAGACCUAAACUCUUGGGAUUUGCGGAAGAAAAUGCUGCAUUAUCAGUGUACUGGCUGCUCAUAGGUAAUGCCGGGACUGGCAGGAGAGUCCUGGGGGCUGAAGACUGUCCACUUCGUGGUGAAGGAAACCUGCAGGGAGAAGCCAUGCCAAAAGGAGGACAGAGCAGAAAGACUGAAGGAGCCGUGAACAUUGGUGGUGCGGUGCAGCCAUCAUAAUGGCCCUAUUCUUGGUGGAUUUAUUUCCCAUGAAGGAAACAGAAAUCCCUCUGAGGUUGAAGCCACUGUCAUUCAGAAUUACAACUGAAGCAAUGACUCUAUCAUGGCAUGGUAGGAAAUGGUUGUAUUUUGGGUUUUCAUCUACUUGGCUGAAGAAUGGGCAGGUUUGAUCCAAGAUCACCUUGAUUAUCUCUGCUGCCAAAAAAUACUUGCAAGUCAGGCAUUAAUAAGAAGAUAGUAUCUGUACCCUAUGAUUCAACUAUGUACAUGAAAUGUAAAAUAGUACUGAAUUUUUGUGGCAUGUAGUAGCUAGGCCUGUUUUUUCAACCCAGGGACAUGUUUUCUUACAUUGCUGCUCUCUCUUUUUUUUUUUAAUGAAAAAUGUAAUGCUAAUAAUUUGUACAAUUCGGGGAAAAAGA